CUGGAAAUGAUCAUGCGAUAAGGAAUAAUGAAGCUGAUAAUUGCUCAGAAUACCGUCGCACUAUUGAUGCUGAGUUUGAAGAUAACAUACAACGCGACAAAGAUUCAAUUCACCCUGAAACGUCUCCGACAGAUUCUGUAGCAAUGAUGUCUGGACCGGCCCGAAGACUAUCAGAGUUUUUGAAACUACCACCUACACCACGACGUUCUACGAAGCAUCGUUAUUACUCGAAGCAGUAUUACCCAGUUUUAACAGCAAAGGAACGGCUUGAUGAAAUGCGGAAGAAAGAAGAUGAAAAACGUGUCAACGAAAACCUAAAAG